CCCGCCACCUUUCGGGCCGCAGUGCUGCCCCGUCCCUCCCGUGCGGGCCGGGCGGGAGGCGGACGGCCCCUCCUGGGGAGUCCCGGGGUGGUUACCUUCGGGGAAGACGGCUCGCAUUUUCAGUCUUUGCCGCAUUCUUGGAUUUUUCCUUCAUCGCGACUACUGCAAGGCGAAGAUGACACUGGCAUAUUAGACCCGAUUCUUCCGAAUUGCAGGGAGCAUGGAUUUCGGCUUCAGAAAAUGGUGCGAGGAGGGGGGAGGUGAUCUCUGAGCCACAACCACGACUGGCAAGCCGCUCGGGAGAAGGCAGUUCUGCUCUGACCCUGCAAUAUCUAGCGCUUCGAAACCAAGACUGAAAGACCUACACGAACCACGGUCCUCUGCCUGCAGCUGGAAUCGGAUCUUCUCCUCAACGGGGAGCAAAUCACUGGGUUCCCUUCACUAAAGGAUUUCUUCUGCUCAAUCC